rnacentral:rRNA from 1 species
CCACCCUUGUAGUGUUGAUGUUCUAACGUCGACCCCUAAUCGGGGUUGCGGACAGUGCCUGGUGGGUAGUUUGACUGGGGCGGUCUCCUCCCAAAGAGUAACGGAGGAGCACGAAGGUGGGCUAAUCACGGUUGGACAUCGUGAGGUUAGUGCAAUGGCAUAAGCCCGCUUGACUGCGAGAAUGACAAUUCGAGCAGGUGCGAAAGCAGGUCAUAGUGAUCCGGUGGUUCUGAAUGGAAGGGCCAUCGCUCAACGGAUAAAAGGUACUCCGGGGAUAACAGGCUGAUACCGCCCAAGAGUUCAUAUCGACGGCGGUGUUUGGCACCUCGAUGUCGGCUCAUCACAUCCUGGGGCUGAAGUCGGUCCCAAGGGUAUGGCUGUUCGCCAUUUAAAGUGGUACGCGAGCUGGGUUUAGAACGUCGUGAGACAGUUCGGUCCCUAUCUGCCGUGGGCGUUGGAAGAUUGAAGGGGGCUGCUCCUAGUACGAGAGGACCGGAGUGGACGAACCUCUGGUGUUCGGGUUGUGUCGCCAGACGCAUUGCCCGGUAGCUAAGUUCGGAAUCGAUAACCGCUGAAAGCAUCUAAGCGGGAAGCGAGCCCUGAGAUGAGUCUUCCCUGAUACUUUAAGUAUCCUAAAGGGUUGUCGGAGACUACGACGUUGAUAGGUCAGGUGUGUAAGUGCUGUGAGGCAUUGAGCUAACUGAUACUAAUUGCCCGUGAGGCUUAACCAUACAACACCCAAGGGGUUU